ACGGAAGGCAGCAGUGGGGAAUAUUGGACAAUGGGGGGAACCCUGAUCCAGCCAUGCCGCGUGUGUGAAGAAGGCCUUAUGGUUGUAAAGCACUUUAAGCGAGGAGGAGGCUCCUGUAGUUAAUACCUACAGUGAGUGGACGUUACUCGCAGAAUAAGCACCGGCUAACUCUGUGCCAGCAGCCGCGGUAAUACAGAGGGUGCGAGCGUUAAUCGGAUUUACUGGGCGUAAAGCGUGCGUAGGCGGCUUUUUAAGUCGGAUGUGAAAUCCCCGAGCUUAACUUGGGAAUUGCAUUCGAUACUGGGAAGCUAGAGUAUGGGAGAGGAUGGUAGAAUUCCAGGUGUAGCGGUGAAAUGCGUAGAGAUCUGGAGGAAUACCGAUGGCGAAGGCAGCCAUCUGGCCUAAUACUGACGCUGAGGUACGAAAGCAUGGGGAGCAAACAGGAUUAGAUACCCUGGUA
rnacentral:rRNA from 1 species